GGCACUUUGGCGGAGUGGUUAACGCGCUGCCCUGCUAAGGCAGUUCCGUGAGUUUGCGCCGCUCUGCGACUAAGAUUUCACUCAAUUCUAACAAUCCUCAAGUUCGGGAGCGUGUGUUCGAAUCACACAGGUGUCG